CCUACGGGAGGCAGCAGUGGGGAAUAUUGGACAAUGGGCGAAAGCCUGAUCCAGCCAUGCCGCGUGUGUGAAGAAGGCCUUUUGGUUGUAAAGCACUUUAAGCGGGGAGGAGGGCACCACGGUUAAUACCCGUGAAUGUCGGACGUUACCCGCAGAAUAAGCACCGGCUAACUCUGUGCCAGCAGCCGCGGUAAUACAGAGGGUGCGAGCGUUAAUCGGAAUUACUGGGCGUAAAGCGCGCGUAGGCGGCUUGUUAAGUCAAAUGUGAAAUCCCCGAGCUUAACUUGGGCAUUGCAUUCGAUACUGGCAAGCUAGAGUAUGGGAGAGGGAGGUAGAAUUCCAGGUGUAGCGGUGAAAUGCGUAGAGAUCUGGAGGAAUACCGAUGGCGAAGGCAGCCUUCUGGCCUAAUACUGACGCUGAGGUGCGAAAGCAUGGGGAGCAAACAGGAUUAGAUACCCUGGUAGUCCAUGCCGUAAACGAUGUCAACUAGCCGUUGGGCCCCUUGAGGGCUUAGUGGCGCGNGCACGCGAUAGUGCCGCCGNGGGAGGUACGGUCGCGAGAACGUAAACGUAACGAAACGGAAGUUAGACGGACGUAGAGACGNGCGACGGACGACGACGAGGGAGGAGG
rnacentral:rRNA from 1 species